rnacentral:rRNA from 1 species
UACUUAGGGGGCGAGCGUUAUCCGGAUUUACUGGGCGUAAAGCGCGUUACGGCGGCUAGCAACGUUGGUGGUGAAAUUUCAGGGCUCAACCCUGAAACUGCCUCCAAUACUGGUUAGCUUGAGUGCGAGAGAGGAAGGUGGAAUUCCCGGUGUAGUAGUGAAAUGCGUAGAUAUCGGGAGGAACACCAGUGGCGAAGGCGGCCUUCUGGAUCGUAACUGACGCUGUAGCGCGAAAGCGUGGGGAGCGAACGGG